rnacentral:snoRNA from 1 species
CAGAUCAAUGACAUGUAUUGGUGAAGGUGUCUGAGUCAACACAUUUGAUUAAGUCCUCUGUGUAACUCAGAGCUCCGG